rnacentral:rRNA from 1 species
GACGAACGCUGGCGGCGUGCUUAACACAUGCAAGUCGAACGGAAAGGCCCUGCUUUUGUGGGGUGCUCGAGUGGCGAACGGGUGAGUAACACGUGAGUAACCUGCCCUUGACUUUGGGAUAACUUCAGGAAACUGGGGCUAAUACCGGAUAGGAGCUCCUGCUGCAUGGUGGGGGUUGGAAAGUUUCGGCGGUUGGGGAUGGACUCGCGGCUUAUCAGCUUGUUGGUGGGGUAGUGGCUUACCAAGGCUUUGACGGGUAGCCGGCCUGAGAGGGUGACCGGCCACAUUUGGGACUGAGAUACGGCCCAGACUCCUACGGGAGGCAGCAGUGGGGAAUAUUGCACAAUGGGCGGAAGCCUGAUGCAGCAACGCCGCGUGCGGGAUGACGGCCUUCGGGUUGUAAACCGCUUUCGCCUGUGACGAAGCGUGAGUGACGGUAAUGGGUAAAGAAGCACCGGCUACUACGUG